GUUGAGAGAAAAACAUAUCUAACCUGGGGUGUAGCUAUCCUCUCUUCUGUCAGCAGACUAUUCUGGAUCAGCAGUCCAAGUGACAGUGAAAGUUGGUGCUAAGUCAGGAUCAGCCACCGGAGAAAGUAAAAGUGUCCAACCAAAGAAAAUGGCUUCAAAUGGAGUAUCUAUGAUGAUUCUAUUCUUUAUCUCCAUCUCUGCUAUCAGUAUUUCUUGGUCUCAAAACCCACAAGCCUUUCAAAGGAAACAUAUGACAUUUCUGGAUAACAUAGACCACAACAGAUGCAACAGUGAGAUGCAAAAUAGAAGGAUUUCUUUGACUAGGAGUGGAUGCAAACGGCUCAACACAUUCAUCCAUGCCCCUGAGAAGCUUAUUGACCAAACCUGUGUGCUGGGGAAACCAUAUGUGAUCCAAAAUUUGGAAUAUAAGAAGAGCAGCAUGAAAUUUCGUGUGACAAGUUGCAGACUUUCUCAGGAAUAUGGAAAAGAUUGCAAGUACAAGGCAGAAGAGAGCAGAUGGAAAUAUAUUGUGGUUUCGUGCAACCAAAAUGAUCGUCCAGUCCAUCUGGCAGGGAUACUUACCUGGUAAAGCAAGACGAUGAACAAAUUUGUUUCUCAAGUAGUUGCUUUAUUUUAUGAGUACAGUAAUGCAUUUUUUCUGUAGAUUCUAGAGAGAAAAACUUAUUCUGUUGUGCCAAUAUCUUUUUUUAAACCCUCUGAUUUAGUUUUGGUGCCUUGAAAGAAAACUAGGUUGAGUUUUUUUCUGAAAUUCGAUAUAUCAAGCAGAUCAGUGGUGGUAUUCUGCUGGUUCUAACCAGUUCGGAUGAACCAGUAGUGAUGGUGGGAGGCUCCGUCCACCUGCCCGAACAUCAUCACAUCCCAUUUUUUAUGCUCUGCACAUGUGUAGAUCUUGCAUACGCAUGGAAUGGCGUGUGCAAAUGAAGCGAGUGUGCUUGCACGCUCACAUUUGUGAACCGGUAGCACAGGUACCAUAUUUUUCGGAGUAUAAGACGCACCAGAGUGUAAGACACACCUUAGUUUUUGGGGAGGAAAAUAAGAAAAAAAGCUGAUUGGCAGGUAGAUCGGCCUCCGGAAUACCCCCAAUCAGCUGUUCCCAGAGGUGAAUUUUAGCAACGGUUCCUUGGUUAUGAGCUCUGUGCCCUGCUUUUUUUUCUGCCUCUGAAAGCUUCAGAAACAGAUCUUCAGAAAAAAAGCCUCUGAAGCUCUGUUUGGGAGCUUCUUUUCUGAAGCUCUGGGGCUUUUUUUCUAAGCUCCGUUUGGAGCUUUUUUUUAAAGCUCCGUUUGGGGCUUUUUUCAGCCUCUGAAACCUCCGUUUGAGAAGCUGGGCAGGGCUACAUUCAAAGUAUAAGACGCACCCAGAUUUUCACCCUCUUUUUUGGGGGAAAAAGAUGCGUCUUAUAUUCCGAAAAAUACGAUAAGUGAAUACCACCACUGAAACAGAUGCUGAAAAAGAUAGGGCCAGGGUUAUUUUGCUGUCCUUUAGAAGUGCAUAGCUGGGGUGUAAAAUUGUCCUUCAACACUCUGAAGGAGAACCUGAGAAAUAUAAAUCAACUGGAUGGAUGAUUCUCUUUUCUAGUAAUUACAAGAUAUUUGAGGAAAUGAAAUGGCUUCCCAGAUAGUCUCUGAGUUUGUGCUGGUUUUGUUCCCUGUUUGAAACUAAUUCUUGUGCAAGGGCAGAAUCCAAUUAGACAUUUCUAAUUACCUACCAAGUCAACCCACAGUUUCUAUACUCCGACUCAAGUGCUGCACAAUGGAGUGAGCUCCCAUCUUUGCCCAGCUGGCCACCUAACAGUUUGAGUGCACGCAAAUUUGAGUAGAUAAAUAGGUACCACUUUGGUGGGAAGGUAACAGUGUUCUGUGCACCUUGGCAUUUAUUCAUGCUGGCCACAUGACCAUGGAAAUAUCUUCAGACAACACUGGCUCCCUCACUAAGAAAUGGAGAUGAUCACUGCUCCCUAAAGUCUUCUGUUGUGAAUGGGUUUCCUAAUUUGCACUAUUUAGUCUAUCAAAGCUAUUGUUGCAGUUUUCAUAUCGUGUAGAAAAUUGUUAAAACAUAAUUUGUAAGUAUAACUGUUGCACAGUUUAGCAAUUUAAAUAUCUACAUAUCAUUCUCUAAACAGUUUUUAUUCUA